UAAAAUCAUUUUUUUUAUCCA
rnacentral:piRNA from 1 species